AUGGCGGCGGCGGCGGUUCACCCUAGGGGAGCCAAGAAGACGAUAUCUCCCGAUGUCGACCGGAUCAGCCUCCUACCCGACGAGAUCCUCGGCGCCGUCAUCUCCUUCCUCCCCACCGAUGCCGCCGCGUGCACCGGCGCCCUCUCCCGCCGCUGGCGCCACCUCUGGGGCUCCUCGCCCCUCGACCUCGACGACCGCCACAUCCCCGGCCCCAGGGACUGCCCCGACCGCGCCGGGGCCGUCUCCAAGAUCCUCUCCGAGCACCAGGGCCCGGUGCGCCGCCUCCGCAUCGAGAGCAUCGGCGACCCCGACCUCGGCGCGUGGCUGCGGUCCCCGGCCCUCGACAAGCUCCAGGAGAUCGACAUCGAUGCGCCCAGGUACUCCGAUCCGCUGCCGCUGACCACGCUCCGCUUCGCGCCGGGCCUCCGCGUGGCCAGGUUCGUCGGCUGCUCGUUGCCCGGCGCGCUGGACGUCGUGGAUGCGCCGGCGUUUAGUUUCCCGCGGCUGAAUCAGCUCGCCCUGGUCUCCAUUUACAUGCGGGAGCGCGCCCUCCAUGGCCUUUCACCAUGCCGUACAUCACGAUUCAGGCUACCGUCCACAGUUUCUCAGGAAAUGGUUGCUGACAACUUGAAAAUGUCGAUGCUCAGUGUGAAGGCUUUACAUCUCACAUCUUGUGGCCCUAAUCUCAAUUCAGUCGUUGUCUUCCUCAAAUUCUUUCCAUGCUUGCACAAGUUGUAUAUCACGACAUCUCCGCAGUCGGCCAUGGAAAAUGCGUAUCAGCUUGACCCACAAGAUCCUAUUGAAUGCCUUGACCAUCUCAGAGAAAUAGUGUUGCAGUGCUACGUGGGCAAAGAAACAGAUGUUAACUUUGCCAAGUUCUUUGUUCUGCAUGCUAAAGCACUCGAGUUGAUGAAAUGUGGUGUCAAUGAUGUAUGCACAGAGGAAUGGAGAGCUGAUCAGUACAGGCGUCUGCAGUUUGACUGUAGGGCUUCUCAGAAUGCUCAGUUUGAUUUUAGAUCUGAUUUUAGCCGUAGAAUUGCUAUAUGUUUCCAUGAUAAUCAGAUCCUGUCCAUGGCUGAUCCCUUUGAAAGCUCUUGCAUGCUUUGUAGAAAAGGUUGGUCAGUUUGA
rnacentral:rRNA from 1 species